rnacentral:rRNA from 1 species
GCCCAAAAUCUAAGCCAACAAACAACACCAACCCCCCCCCCAUCGUAAACCAAAACAUUUGCCCAGACUAGUAGAUGAGAUCGAACACCACCAAUUAGCCUUUUAAGUACCGCAAGGGAAAAAUGAAAGAACAAUGAAAAACUUUAAGCACAAAAUAGCAAAGAUCAACCCCUGUACCUCCUGCAUCAUGGUUUAGCAAAAAUCUUUCAGACAAAGAGAACCUUAAGCCUGCCCCCCCGAAACCAAACGAGCUAUUUUUAGACAGUAAUAAUAUAGAACGCACCCAUCCCUGUAGCAAAAGAGUGGGAAGAUCUAAAAAUAGGGGCGAAAAGCCAACCGAGCUUGGUGAUAGCUGGUUACUCAACAAAGAAUUUAAGUUCAACUUUAGAUAUUAACCGAGCCUACCUUAAUCUCCACCUUAAAAAUCUAAAGAAAAUCAAUGGGGGUACAGCCCCAUUGAACCGGAAUACAGCCCGAACUGAGAGGAUUUUUUUUCCAAAAAACAGUAGGCUUCAAAGCAGCCACCAAAAAUCGCGUUAUAGCAUUAUAUACCUAACAAUUCCAACAACUCUAUAAACCUCCUGAACACCCCGAGUUAUUCUAUAUACUUAUAGAAACACUAAUGCUAAAAUCAGUAAUAAGAAACACUUAUUUCUCUCCGCACCCCUUUAAAUCAGAAUAGAAAAUCUACUGAUAAUUAACAAAACAUGGCCCGCAUUAACUAGCUUUUAUGCCAUCCUACUUUGUUACCCCGACACAGGCGUGCAAAAAAGAAAGGUAAAAAACCGCAAAAGGAACUCGGCAACCAUUAAUCCCAACUGUUUACCAAAAACAUAGCCUUCAGCCUUACAAGUAUUGAAGGUACCGCCUGCCCAGUGACUCUUUUAACGGCCGCGGUAUCCUAACCGUGCAAAGGUAGCAUAAUCACUUGUCCCUUAAAUAGGGACUAGAAUGAACGGCUAAAUGAGGAUUAGACUGUCUCUUGCAGGUUAACCAAUGAAAUUGAUUUUCUAGUCCAAAAGCUGGAAUAAACUCAUAAGACAAAAAGACCCUGUGGAGCUUAAAAACCAGACACACCUAACAUGUUUUCUUGGUUUUUUAGUUGGGGCGACUUCGGAGUAAAAAAAACCCUCCAAAACAUGACCACUUCCUUAUUAAGAUGAACACAUCAAAACAACUACAUAAGACCCAGCAAUAAGAUAUUGUCUGAUCAACGAACCAAGUUACCCCAGGGAUAACAGCGCUAUCCCCUUUUAGAGUCCCUAUCGACAAGGGGGUUUACGACCUCGAUGUUGGAUCAGGACAUCCUAAUGGUGCAGCUGCCAUUAAGGGUUCGUUUGUUCAACGAUUAAAGUCCUACGUGAUCUGAGUUCAGACCGGAGAAAUCCAGGUCGGUUUUUAUCUAUGCGGCACUAUCCUCAGUACGAAAGGACCAAGAUAGCAGGACCAAUUCUACAGAAUGUCCUAAUAAUAACCUCUGACCCCCCCCCUGAAUAAAACAACUAUACCACCCCCACAGCCCAAAAAUAGGGCUU